ensembl:lincRNA
GGGCGCAGGUUCGAGGCCCCACCGCCCGGGGUCGCCGUGGCGCUCGUGUCCCGUCGGUCGGCGCAGGCACAGUGCACGUCGCUUCAACCACACAGCAGCCCCAGAGGCUGUGCCCCCCACCAUCUUACAAAAGAGGAAAAAGACCCUUGAAAGAGCACCCAGACCUAGCCAGGGAGUGGUACUGAGGGAAGGGGAGGCGUCCUGGGGUCUGAUACUGCCAGGGAAACUGAGGCCAACCAAAACAGGUCCCAAAGCCAGGUAGGGCCCCUUUAUAAACAGGGGUACCCACUCAGGACUCCCCUGCCAAGGAACCCACGGGCCUCCAGUCCAGCUAAGGCUGGGCUAGUCUGUCCCCGCAGGGCCAGGAUGCUUUGGGCUGUGUGCCUUGGUUUCCCCGCUAGAGCAGGAGGGUGUGGGCAGAGCCCGAUAAGGGAGGAGCAGGGCCCCCUGGCUCCCUCGCUCUGUCCGCCCCUGCACCCAUGCGUGGACCCAGCAGCCACCCGUGGCCCUCUGCGCACCCAUCCUCACCACGGGAGACAGGGACACAGUCCUUGCUCAAUGCUGUCCACACCAGGGCACGGUGUCUGCCUGACCAUCCCGGGCCACAGCCUGCUCCAGCCACCAGGUGGCCUCCCUGACUUGGGGGGGGCGGAGCCAUGGAGGGUGAUGGGCAGAGGCCGCCCCAGGAGGAGCCCCAUGCCUGAGCUCAGAGAGACCCAGCCCCACACUGCACAACCACUUGGGAGGGGGUGCCCUGAAUGCCUCAAUUUCCACAGAUGACCAAGGCUCAGGCUGUGGGUAGAUUCAGAUGUGAGCAGCACCGGCCAGGACGCGGACAUGGGCAGCGAGGAUCAGGGAGGCCUGAUGCUGGUUCUGGCUCUGCCUGGGCAGGACACAGGAUGUGACUGGAAGCUGCAUGCAGAGCCCCCAUGUUGCCACACCUCCAAGGUGGGCCCUGUGCUGGCCCCCAGCACUCCUGGAGCUGCACCAGCUGUCCCCAAGCAAGUGGUAUCCCUGGCAGGACAGGCCACUCGCAUCCAGAGAGCUCCACUGCACAGGGCGAGACUUGGUGCUGCCUCUGCAGUGCACGGAGAGAGGCGGGACUCCUCCUGGGGGCCCAGGGAAAGGAGUGGGGGAGCCUGGCCACAGCCCCCACCCAAGCAGGCGUCCACCCCCAUGGCCUAGCAGCCCUCUUCCUGGGCUCCAGAGCAAAGAAAACCAGGUCAUGCAGGAAACUACUCAGUGCUGAGAUGGAACCCAAGCAUGGCACCUGCUGGGCAAGAACUCAGCUGCUAUGCUAGCUAGAGCCCUCCUGCCUUUUUCAUUUUGAGACAGGGUCUUGCUAAGUUGCCCAGGCUGGGAUUGAACUUGCAAUCCUUCUGCCUCUGCUUCCUUGGUAGCUGGGAUUACAGGAGGCAUACAACACCAUGCCCGGCUGAAAACAGCUUCUUGUAACAGGAAGGCAGGUACUGUAGAGAGGCUGUCAGUCGACGGCCCAAGCACAGGCACUCGCCAGUGUCCCCAGUCACCCUGUAAGGCCAGGAUGAGCCAGCUACGUGGGUUUUGGUUGGGCAGAUGUUGUUUUUGUCAACAAAGGCUCAGGGACUCACACCAAGUUUUCCGCAGGCCACACAGCGCUGCAGGAAUGCCAAAGCAGCUAGGCAGAGCGUUCACCUCUCUGCUGUGACAGCGGCCAACCCGACGCCAACCUGAACACGGUCGCACCAACGCUGGCAGGUGGCUCAGAGCGGCUGCCGAGAGCUUCUCCGCAGGCAGGACAGCUCCUGCCAUGCAGGGCUCCUCCACAGACAGCCUGCGCGAAGCGAAGGCAAACACCCGCGCUGUAGCUGCUGUCGGGAGCCACCAGAACGUCCGGACAGGCUGUUCCCGCCAGACAGGGGCAUCGCAUCUCCGGCAACCAGGAGGAACGCAAGGGCAUGGCACUCAGGGAAGGCAGCCAGGCCGGCCGCACCUCAGAGCCCCAAGGACCCCUGCCUGACGAGGGGAACCGGCCGGAGCUCAGGAGCGCGGCAGCAGCGCUGCUCACUCGGCACUGGACAGACGUCGGGCAUUCGCCCAAAGCCACCGAGACCCGACCGGGCGCGAGCCUCUAUGUGACAGGGACACUCGGCAAGGGUCUACCCCGUGACAAGUGCGCCACUCAGGCAGGGAUGCUGACAGCGGGGAGGCCGCGCUUGGGAGCAGCCAGGGCAUUUACGGGACACUCCUGGACCUCCCACUCAAUUUAAACCACUCUAAAAUAAUUAGUCCUUCAAAUUAAAAAAUCUCUACCUCCUACUCAUCACUGCAGAGAGCCAGCCAGGCUCAGCGCAGCACUGCGUCCCAGGGGGCCAGCCCGCGGGGCCCGGGAGCCGCGGCAGCCUUUCCGGUGAGCGGUGAGCUGGCACCUCCCGUCUGGCCAGCACGGAGGCCCUGCACCCCUCCUCCACACCACCCCCACUCAAGUCCUGGCAGCAGGCCCAGCGGGGACAGAGACUGGACGGCUGGGGAGCAGGAACCACGCCAGGGCCGCCAGCGGCUGCAGGAACUGAAAGCGAAAGUCAAGUCUCAGGCUGGGAGCUGAGAUCAGGAGAUUCGUUCCAGUCAGAAUCUGCCACUGAAAGCUGUGUGACCUCAGCACUACUCAACCUCUCUGAGCUGUGUGUGUCACGGGGCGCCGGCAGGUGAAACGACACAUGCCACAGCGCCAAGGGCACCGUCACAUAUGAUCUCCAUCUCCUGUUUCUGAACACUGGAACAAAACAUUACAACACGCCUGUUUUGAGCGGUUGUUUUUAAGUUUCGCUUCGUUUUGAUUCUGUGACAAGAUCUUGCUAUGUAGUCCAGACAGCCUUGAAUUCAUUAUAUAGCCCAUACUGGUCUCUAGCUCAAGAUCCUCCUGCCUCAGCCUCCUGAGUGAUGGAAUUACAGCCAUCCGUUUUAAAAACACAAGCACCAGCUGAAUGUGGUGGUGCAUAGCUAUAAUACCAGCACCCAGGAAGCGGAGGGUCACUGCAAGUUCAAGGCCAGCCUGGGGAUAUAGAGUAAGACUGUCUUGGAAGUCCAAGACCAAAACAAAAGCAAUGAAAAUAAGAAAGAAAUCUCCCACCUUGAGCAAGCAGGACUACAACUGCAAGUGGCACCGCCACAGCUCCCCCCAGAGACUCCACUGUGACGAAGGGAAAGACAGGACCAG